UACAUGUAUAUAUACCAUAUACACUGGGAACUAUUGAUGUAAGUUCUGAAGUUCAAUGGUUGGAGAAUCAGAGCUCUGAUGUCCAAGGGCAGGAGAAGAGGAAUAUCCCAGCUCCAGGAGAGAAAAAGAACAGAAAUUGCCUUUCUCUGCUUUCUUCAUUCUCUCGAGGCCCCCAGCUAAUUAAAUGGUGCCUGCCCACAUUGAGGGCAGACCUUCCCCACUUAGUCUAGUCAGACUUACACACCAGUCUCCUCUGGAAACACCCUCAAAAACAUACCUUUACGAGUUCUCUAGUUACUUCUUAAUCCAGUCAAAUUGACACAUAAAACUAACCAUCACACCCUCUAUAAUGUGAUAUAUUUUAUAAGUAACUUAACAAACAAAAUCUUUGUAUUAACACAUUCUUUAUAAGUACUAAAAAUAAUCAUCCUAACUCUUCAAGCACACUUGAUGGGAAUUUGUACUUUUGAAGUAAUGUAUACAUAUAUUCAGUCUCUCUGAAUUCUGAUUGUGGUUCUGAUUUCACAAUUCUUGAAUAAAAAUUAAAGAUUUCAUUUUAAAAUCUGGCUAAAUAUAAGUGAAUUUUCAGGAUCUUUCUCCAAAACAGUGAUUCUCAGGUUUGGGAGGAUAAAGGCUUCUUUAUUAGGGAUCAGGAGAAGGAGCUUACUUUUGUUGCUGCUCAUUUUCUGCCUGGCUGGGGAAUGAGUAAUCAAAAAAACUGGAUUUAAUUUGCAACAGUAUUUACUAAGUGCUUACUGUAUACCACUAUUUCCUGCUACCACUUACAAGUCAACCUUUGGGUACUUCCUCUUCAGACUUCCUAAUGCUAUUUCCAGGUCGGUUGUCCCCUUCCAUCAGACCCAAGCCCCAGCAAGUCUACCCACUUUUGGAUAUUGGCUUAUCUUCUCCAGGCCAAGCAGUUAUGGUCAGCGUGUCACUGGCUCUGACAUCCAAAUUCUUCUUUAUCUUGAUAAUUU
rnacentral:lncRNA from 1 species